UACAGAGGUCUCAAGCGUUGUUCGGAUUCAUUGGGCGUAAAGGGUGUCGUAGGCGGCGCCGGUAAGUCGGGUGUGAAAUUCGAGGCUUAACUCCGAAACUGCAUUCGAUACUGCCGUGCUUGAGGACUGGAGAGGAGACUGGAAUUUACGGUGUAGCGGUGAAAUGCGUAGAUAUCGUAAGGAAGACCAGUGGCGAAGGCGGGUCUCUGGACAGUUCCUGACACUGAGGCACGGAAGGCCCAGGGGGAGCAAAACGGGG
rnacentral:rRNA from 1 species